rnacentral:rRNA from 1 species
AAUGAACGCUGGCGGCGUGCCUAAUACAUGCAAGUCGAGCGAAUGGAUUAAGAGCUUGCUCUUAUGAAGUUAGCGGCGGACGGGUGAGUAACACGUGGGUAACCUGCCCAUAAGACUGGGAUAACUCCGGGAAACCGGGGCUAAUACCGGAUAACAUUUUGAACCGCAUGGUUCGAAAUUGAAAGGCGGCUUCGGCUGUCACUUAUGGAUGGACCCGCGUCGCAUUAGCUAGUUGGUGAGGUAACGGCUCACCAAGGCAACGAUGCGUAGCCGACCUGAGAGGGUGAUCGGCCGCGCGGCGACUGAGCAACGGCCGAGAAUCCUACGGGAGGCAGCAGUAGGGAAUCUUCCGCAAUGGACGAAAGUCUGACGGAGCAACGCCGCGUGAGUGAUGAAGGCUUUCGGGUCGUAAAACUCUGUUGUUAGGGAAGAACAAGUGCUAGUUGAAUAAGCUGGCACCUUGACGGUACCUAACCAGAAAGCCACGGCUAACUACGUGCCAGCCGCCGCCGUAA